rnacentral:rRNA from 1 species
GAUGAACGCUGGCGGCGUGCCUAAUACAUGCAAGUAGAACGCUGAAGGAGGAGCUUGCUCUUCUGGAUGAGUUGCGAACGGGUGAGUAACGCGUAGGUAACCUGCCUGGUAGCGGGGGAUAACUAUUGGAAACGAUAGCUAAUACCGCAUGACAACAGUUAUUGCAUGAUAACUGUUUAAAAGGGGCAACUGCUCCACUACCAGAUGGACCUGCGUUGUAUUAGCUAGUUGGUGAGGUAACGGCUCACCAAGGCGACGAUACAUAGCCGACCUGAGAGGGGGAGCGGCCACACUGGGACUGGGACACGGCCCAGACUCCUAAGGGAGGGAGCAGUAGGGAAUCUUCGGCAAUGGACGGAAGUCUGACCGAGCAACGCCGCGGGAGUGAAGAAGGUGUUCGGAUCGUAAAGCUCUGUUGUAAGAGAAGAACGAGUGUGAGAGUGGAAAGUUCACACUGUGACGGUAUCUUACCAGAAAGGGACGGCUAACUACGUG